rnacentral:tRNA from 1 species
GGUCCCAUCGUCUAGCCCGGUCUAGGACACGGCGUUCUCAACGCUGUAACUGGGGUUCAAAUCCCCAUGGGACCG